rnacentral:rRNA from 1 species
AACGACUCUCGGCAACGGAUAUCUCGGCUCUCGCAUCGAUGAAGAACGUAGCGAAAUGCGAUACUUGGUGUGAAUUGCAGAAUCCCGUGAACCAUCGAGUCUUUGAACGCAAGUUGCGCCCGAAGCCUCCGGCUGAGGGCACGUCUGCCUGGGCGU